rnacentral:rRNA from 1 species
UGGGGAAUAUUGCACAAUGGGCGGAAGCCUGAUGCAGCGACGCCGCGUGGGGGAUGGCGGCCUUCGGGUUGUAAACCUCUUUCAGCACCGACGAAGCGAGAGUGACGGUAGGUGCAGAAGAAGCGCCGGCCAACUACGUGCCAGCAGCCGCGGUAAAGACGUAGGGCGCGAGCGUUGUCCGGAUUUAUUGGGCGUAAAGAGCUCGUAGGCGGCUUGUCGCGUCGUCCGUGAAAAACCCGUGGCUCAAACUGCGGGCUUGCGGUCGAUACGGGCAGGCUGGAGUUCGGUAGGGGAGACUGGAAUUCCUGGUGUAGCGGUGAAAAUGCGCAGAUAUCAGGAGGAACACCGGUGGCGAAAGGCGGGUCUCUGGGCAGUAACUGACGCUGAGGAGCGAAAAGCGUGGGGAGCGAACAGGAUUAGAUACC